AGCUGCGUGGCGCAGUGGAAGCGCGCCGGGCUCAUAACCCGGAGGUCGUUGGAUCGAAACCAACCGCAGCUA
rnacentral:tRNA from 1 species